rnacentral:rRNA from 1 species
GACGAACGCUGGCGGCGUGCUUAACACAUGCAAGUCGAACGAUGAAGCCUAGCUUGCUAGGUGGAUUAGUGGCGAACGGGUGAGUAAUACGUGAGUGACCUACCUUUUACUCUUGGAUAAGCCUGGGAAACUGGGUCUAAUACCGGAUACGACAAAUCUCCGCCUGGGGUGUUGGUGGAAAGCGUUAUGGUGUGGGUUUAGAUGGGCUCACGGCCUAUCAGCUUGUUGGUGAGGUAAUGGCUUACCAAGGCGACGACGGGUAGCCGGCCUGAGAGGGUGACCAGCCACACUGGGACUGAGACACGGCCCAGAGUCCUACGGGAGGCAGCAGUGGGGAAUAUUGCACAAUGGGCGCAAGCCUGAUGCGGCGACGCCGCGUGUGGGAUGACGGCCUUCGGGGUGUAAACCUCUGUUAGCAUCGAAGAAGCGAAAGUGACGGUAGGUGCAUAGAAAGCGCCGGCUAACUACGUG